ACAGCCACAUCAUGUUGAAACACCAGUCCCCAUACGAUCACCAAAGUCAAGCAACAUUAAGCCUGGUCAGUACCUAAAUAGGAGACCACUUGAGAAUAGCAGGUGCUGUAAG